GCAAAAGUGGCCGAAAUUAGGCAAAAGACUGUAAAUCUUUUAAUGGCCAAAGCCCAUUGCA
rnacentral:tRNA from 1 species